rnacentral:rRNA from 1 species
AACGAACGCUGGCGGCGUGCCUAACACAUGCAAGUCGAGCGAGAAAGUCCCCGCAAGGGGAUGAGUAAAGCGGCGAACGGGUGAGUAACACGUGGGCAACCUGCCCUUCAGUCAGGAAUAACCCCGCGAAAGCGGGGCUAAUACCGGAUGACGUCCUUUGGGGGCAUCCUCGGGGGACCAAAGGGGGCGAGCGAAAGCGGCUCCCGCUGAAGGCUGGGCCUGCGGCUGAUUAGCUAGUUGGUGGGGUAGCGGCCUACCAAGGCGACGAUCAGUAGCCGACCUGAGAGGGUGACCGGCCACACUGGGACUGAGACACGGCCCAGACUCCUACGGGAGGCAGCAGUGGGGAAUAUUGCGCAAUGGGCGAAAGCCUGACGCAGCGACGCCGCGUGGGUGAUGAAGGCCUUCGGGUCGUAAAACCCUGUCGGGUGGAACGAAUUCCGCCUCGCUAAUACCGAGGUGGCUUGACGGUACCACCGAAGGAAGCCCCGGCUAACUACGUGCCAGCCGCCGCCGUAAAAC